AAUCUAUGCACAUGAUACUUCUAAUACAAUUCUUUAAAUCUUUCUCAUGCUUCAUACAAGCUUUCAUCUUCCAACUGUUUGAAUGAAGUUAAAUCAUUUUGAAGAUU